rnacentral:rRNA from 1 species
AUACGUAGGGGGCGAGCGUUGUCCGGAAUGACUGGGCGUAAAGGGCGUGUAGGCGGUCUUGCAAGUCAGAAGUGAAAUUCCUGAGCUCAACUCGGGCGCUGCUUCUGAAACUGCGGGACUUGAGUGCUGGAGGGGAUAGCGGAAUUCCUAGUGGAGCGGUAAAAUGCGCAGAUAUUAGGAAGAACACCGGUGGCGAAGGCGGCUAUCUGGACAGUAACUGACGCUGAGGCGCGAAAGUGUGGGGAGCAAACAGGAUUAGAUACCCUGGUAGUCCACACUGUAAACGAUGAAUGCUAGGUGUAAGAGGUAUCGACCCCUUUUGUGCCGGAGUCAACACAAUAAGCAUUCCGCCUGGGGAGUACGGCCGCAAGGUUGAAACUCAAAGGAAUUGACGGGG